UUAGAUGGAAGAUUUCUUUUAUAUUCCUUUAUAGGAAUAUAAUGAAUUUACAAGUCUACAAUGAAUUUACAAGUCUACGAUGAAUUUGAACAGAGAAAGCAUCUUUUGGGACACUUUGCACUGGUGAAAAUGGUUCCAUUUUGUGGAGCUUUGUGCCAUCAAGAUAGAAAAUAUGCCAGUCUCCUCUGCUUGGCUCAGCAACUGCAAUAGAGAAGGAGGAAGCUGCGUCAACUGUGUGACGACUUAAUUUGCUUUGAGCUGAUAAUAGCCAUGAGAGAUGCCAACGAUUGAUGGCAAUUUCCACGUCAUUGUGAGUCACAGAGAUUCACCUAGAAAACCACACGUAUAAAUGUCUUCUAGGGGAUAAUGCCCCUUUGCUCAGUUCAUGGGGAUGUAGGGUACAGAGACCUCAUUGCAGCUGACCUCCAAAUCUGUGAAACAUAGGAGCAUAGCCGUACAGAUGAAGGACAUGAUAUCUUUUUCUACAUAUUGUAUUUACAGAAGACUCAGCAAAAGCAUACCUGGAUGAUUGACACUCAGACACUCCUGUACUUGCCUAACUGGCUAUCUUCUGGUCUCUGGAUUCCAUAACAACUCCUGUAAAGCUUUGGGACUGGGUAAAGUCAGAAAACCUACAGUUACACCAGCAGGUCCUCUUAGCCUGAUACAUUUUUCAGAAAUUCUAGAUGCUGCCUACUUCUCUAGGCUCCUGUCCCCAUAGUUAUAUGAAGCCAGGGCAGAGCUUGGUGUUUUUGAACCAGCCUAAAACCACACUUCAACAGUGAUCUGGAGACCUUCACAUAAACCUACAUCCUCCAAAAUGGACUAAGUUUUCUGAGCCAGUCUUGGCUAGCUUAAGCAGCAGUACAAGAACUCUCUGGAAACAAAACAAAACAAAUAAGCUACUUUGCCAGCUAAUUAGCUCUCUGAUUGUUGAUAAGGAGUUUUAUGUUUCCAUGUCUUCCUCCUCUCCAACAUGCUAAAUUGGCCUGGUAUUAGUUUAGUCAUAUUAUGGUAAAAACAAAAACAAAAACAAAGAAACAAACAAACAAAAAACCCACCAUGUGUCUUAGCCUAUCUGUGUAAAUAUAUUCUUUCAGCUUGAGUCUAUGAAAUAUUUUUAUUUAGCUCCCUCUAUUGCUAAGCACUGUGUGAAGUGCUAGGAGUUAUACAAAGAGGCAGAAGAUUCAAUCCUGAGUUUCAGGUUUAUAAUUCAGUUGAUAAGACCAAACUAAUUGAAGUUGAAAGAGCAAUGGAUUGCUAAAUUAUCUGGUAGUGAAUUUAUCAUGACCAAGUAUACAGAAAAUGAAAAGAUGUAUGAGAGCUGAGUUCAGGAAGUUUCAACAAAUAAAAUAACGUGGGAGCUGUUUAUUGAAGGAGGGUCUCAACAGGCAGACUGGUAGAGGGGCUGCCCUCCAGAAGGCAGUCAGCGUACCCUAGGUUUGAUAAAGCCAGGGCUACCUUCCACGUUUCUGUACAGGGGUAGCACCCAAAAAGUCAAAAGGCCUGGCUUCACAUAGAUUUUUCACGACAGCAAAGGUCAUGUGAAGUUCCACUAAGGAUAUUAUAGUGUCAUAGAGUCUGAGUCUGAGGUAAACCUAGAUAUCAUCCUCUAACUCUUUCAGAUGACAGUGAAGAGUGUUGAGCUAUAUUAGAAGUACCAUCUCCUCUGCUUUGCCGUAGACUCUGAUCAUGCUAGAUGUCCUUCUAAGCCUUCUUGGUUGUAGACGUCCUGCAGUUUGCAUCCUUACACUUGGAGUGCUUUGGAGUCCUGCCAAGGUGUGACUGGACUCUUGGGACUGGGAGCAUUUUCCGUGCCAAUGACACUGAGGAGAGAGUGGAGACCACAGGGCUUCCAGGGAGUCAACAAACUUUCCUGGCAUAUUUAUUAUUGAGUGGACUUGGAGAGUGAUUUCUUUUCUGAGGAGCCCCCAAUCCGCCCCCUCCUCCGAAAGUUGGAGUCAUUUCAGUGAGUAAUGGCUUCAAGUAAGGUAAUACUUUACCCUGGAGGAGUCAAGAAAUUCAUGGGGUUUGAUGAUAUGGAACCUGGACUAAAAGGCUGGUUUCUAUUUAUACUGAAUAAGCCAGAUUUGGGGAAAUACAUUAAGGUUGCGGUGCCAUAGGGUAGUGAAUGGUCCAUGGUCCAUCACCCUGGGAAGAGGUGAAUCUUGAAACUACAAGCAAGAACUCAGGAUUGUGGGCUUUAGAUUGUUAGGUUUGGGGAGGUACUGGGGAUUUUCUUAUUUCCCUGAAAUCUCAUGGGAUCCAAGUAAAGCAGACAUGCCAGAGGGCACACCUGUGGAAGGGUGGCUGGCUGUUUCUUUUCUAGAUGACAACAGACUGGGAGGAAGGCAGAGAAGUAUCAUUUAGGGACUCCCAAAGGAAUAUCAUCCCGGCUUUGGGCCUGAGGGCUCCGAACACACCCAUAUAUAACAUAGUUGACUGUGUAUAAAUAGUCCCUUCGAUGCCUGGGUGGCUCAGCAGUUGGGCAUCUGCCUUCGGCCUAGGGAGUGAUCCUGGAGUUUUGGGAUCGAGUCCCACAUCGGGCUCCCUGCAUGAAGUCUGCUUCUCUCUCUGCCUAUGUCUCUGCCUGUGUCUCUCAUGAAUAAAUAAAUAAGAUCUUUAAAAAAAAUAGUCCCUUUUAUGGUCCAUAAACUUUCAAUAAGACCUGAUUAGACAUUACUCCUUGGUUUCUUCUUUGCUAGAAGGAGAAAGUAGUUCCCCUUCAGAGGCCACAGGGCUGGUGAUAUUUGUGGUCCUCAGCUGUUAUGAAUUGAAGGUCUGCGCUGAUACGAUGAGUAAAUGCACAAUGAAGACUAUGAGGUAACCAAACCUGAGCAAUUGUGGAAGAGAACCAUUGUCUCCUCUCAGAAAGGGCCCAAAACACUUUGAAAUUGAUUAAUUUAUGGUAAGCAAGUUGGUAGGGCUCAAGCUACCAUUUUGGGAACCUUAAAAGGAAAUCUGAUCCUACUUAACCUCAAAGAAGAUUUGGUCUCUUCUAGGUGGUCUAGGAGAGUAUGCCAUAGCAUAGAAAUUUUCUUGUAUGCCUGAUUGCAGAUUAAUUCCUAAAUUUCCCUUUUGAAUGGAAGUCUGAAAGAACAUAACAAGAAUGCUGGGUAAUCUGUCAACCUCUGGCUUUUUCUUAAAAUUUUAUUUAUUUAUUCAUAAGAGACAGAGAGACAGAGAGAGAGAGGCAGAGACAACAGGCAGAGGGAGAAGUAGGCUCCAUGCAGGAAGCCCAACGUGAGACUCGAUCAUGAGACUCCAGGAUCACGCCCCAGGCCAAAGGCAGCACUAAACCGCUGAGCCACCCGGGCUGCCCUGGCUUCUUAUUAUAUAGUUGAUUCAGUAUUUGAGUUUGUCACAUUUAUAUACCUCUUUAUAAUUGACAAAGCACUUUCACAUAUAUUACGUUGUUUGUGCCUCACAGCAACACUGAUGGUUAUGCAGAACAGUGACUAUUAAUUCUAUUUAAUACCUGAGGACACGAAGAGAUGAAAUGAUAUAACCACAAAUGAGUGCAAGAGAGUUUAAAUUUAUGGAACAGAUAUUAAGUCAUUGCAAAGGAGAAAAUAGCAACUUAACUGUGAAGACAUUUGGUAGAUAUCACUUUGACCAAGUGACCAAGGUUAACAUCACCAGUAAUAAGACAAGAUUCUCACCCAAAAUGGUAACCUGAAUCAUGACUAGAUAUCAGACACACUCAAAUUGAGGGUCAUUCUACCAGAUUAGCCAAUGCUAUUCAAAAGUGUCAAGAUCAUAAAAGGCAAAGAAAGACUGAAGACCUGUUCCAGAUUGUAGGAGACUGAAGAACCGUGGUAACUAAAGUUAUUUGGAAACUUGGAUCUUGGACCUGAAAAAGAACAUUAGUGGGACAAUUGGUGAAAUUUAAAUAAGAUCUGUAGAUUACUUAACAGUUUUGUUGUCCGUAUUCAUUUCCUGAUUUUGCUAAUAGUACUGUGGUUAUGUAAGGUGUUAACAUUUGUGAAAGUUGUGAGAAAGGUACACAGGAACUUUGUACGGUUUUUCCACUUUUUUAUGAGUCUGAACUUGUUUCAAAAUCAAAGUUAAAGUAAAUUAAUAAAUAUGUUUUCUCCUGAAACCAAACCGAUUUUUUAAAAGAUUUUAUUAAUUUAUUCAUGAGAGAAAAAAGGGAGGCAGACACAAAGGCAGAGGGAGCAGCAGGCUCCCCAAGGGGGAGGACCCUACAGAUCACAGCACAAGCCGAAGGCAGACACUUAACCUCUGAGCCACCAAGGACUCUCAGCCAAACCAAUUUUUAUCUUCAGUGACAAUUUACAUAAACUUCAAAAUCAACUGGAAAUUGAAUAAAUGGAGUAUUUUUUCAAAUUUUUAUUUAAGUGCUAGUUAACAUACAGAGUAAUAUUGGUUUCAGGAGUAGAAUUUAGUGAUUCAUCAGUUACAUUAAAUGGAGCGUUUUUGCAUUAUUCAAACCAAUGGAUGAUGCUCCUAGGGGACCCUUCUAUGUUCUACUGUAGAAUUUUGGAAAUAUACAGAACAUGGUGGUAAAGACUACAGUCUUGGAUUUGGAUAGAUGAACCCCAGUCUUGCCAUUUACUAUGUAUGUGAACAUCCAUUUUCCUACCUAUAAAGUAGAGAUAAGUAAUGAUAUCAUAGGAUUGCUGGGGGAUUAAAUGAGUCAAUGCAUGGUAAAUUCUCCCCAGAGUGUUAGGUUCAGGUUCCAGCUUUUGCAUUAUGAUUGAACUUAAAUAAAAGGAUGAGAAAAGAUAUCUUCCUGAGUCAGUAACCACUUUGUGUCAGAAUGGCUCCUUUGGUUGUGAUUUCACCAACUUAAAUGGACAUACUUACUCAAAAGCUGUGUAAAGCAUGCUCACUGCUAAUAAAAAAAAGAGAGAGAGAGAGAGAGAAAGGAUGUUAUUUACACAAAUUGCCCAGGGAUAUUUUGAAAACACUAAGCGAACUGCUAAAAGCUUGCCAUGGAAAAGAUCACAGCUGUUACCAGCACAUUUCCACCGUAUCAGUAGUCAGUCGGGUACCGUCCUGGGAAGAGAGAGUGGAAAAUGGAAACUCUGCCCAAAGUUCUGCGCCCGUGGAGAGCCAGGAAGAAACCAUGACUGCUCCCGGAGUCCAGCAAAACCUGCCCUGAGUGGGCGGACAAGGCUUUAAACAACUUGGAAAGGCUCUUCAAAGAACAAUUAAAAACAACCUCCCGUGGUGGGAGGUGAAUCUGGCUGGGAAACUCCUGCUUUCUUUCCCCAGGGUAGAAUUCCCAGGCUUCUGGAUCCUGGUGGAGCGCCCUUGGCAGUGGAC